rnacentral:tRNA from 1 species
GCGACCGUUGUCUAGUGGCUAUGAUGCAGGCUUCCCAAGCCUGCGACCCGGGUUCGAAUCCCGGCGGUCGCACCA